CCUACGGGAGGCAGCAGUGAGGAAUAUUGGUCAAUGGACGAGAGUCUGAACCAGCCAAGUAGCGUGAAGGAUGACUGCCCUAUGGGUUGUAAACUUCUUUUAUAUGGGAAUAAAACAGGGUAUGCAUACCCUCUUGUAUGUACCAUAUGAAUAAGGAUCGGCUAACUCCGUGCCAGCAGCCGCGGUAAUACGGAGGAUCCGAGCGUUAUCCGGAUUUAUUGGGUUUAAAGGGAGCGUAGGUGGAUUGUUAAGUCAGUUGUGAAAGUUUGCGGCUCAACCGUAAAAUUGCAGUUGAAACUGGCAGUCUUGAGUACAGUAGAGGUGGGCGGAAUUCGGGGUGUAGCGGUGAAAGGCUUAGAUAUCACGAAGAACUCCGAUUGCGAAGGCAGCUCACUGGACUGCAACUGACACUGAUGCUCGAAAGUGUGGGUAUCAAACAGGAUUAGAUACCCGAGUAGUC
rnacentral:rRNA from 1 species